GCAGUGCGCAUUCGCCGCUCUUCUGACAGCAGUGAGGAUGUGGGCGUGCCGCGCGCUCCUGCCGCUGGCUGCAUUCGCCACUGUUGCUGUUGCUGCCGCCGCCGCAGGCCAUCAGGACCCGUCUCUCACAGCAUUUAUCAACGCCGAUUGGUCAGCUUAUCUGUCGGACCGAGCUGCAGUCGAGCGCCACAUAAAGUGUGUCCUCGACAAAAUGCCCUGCGACGCCGACGGACUGAAGCUGAAAAGUUUGGUACCUUUCAUGAUGGACCAGAAUUGUAGGAAAUGUUCCAAUAACGAGAAGCUGUUUACGAGGAAGCUGAAAAGACUGAUGGCAAAGCAUUACCCGGAAGCCUAUCGCGAUAUGGCACUUUUGGCUCGCCGUCUCCAACGUCAGGCAGCCGCUGCCGCCGCCGCCGCCGCCGCCACCGCCACCACCACCAUCAGAACAGUUAGCAGGACCACCGACAGGUCCUGUAUCUACCGCUGCUGUUCCUGGCAUCGUCUCCGACACCGACACGGCUCUGCAAUCUGAAAAUAAGAAUUGGCAGCUUAAUACAAGGAAAAUACUAACGAGCAAAGAGUGAGACAUGAUACUUUUACUCUUGGAGGAGAGAAGAUUAGAAUUUAAUGUCCAGUCGAAGAAGAGGUGAUUACCUCAGAUUACGGAAAGACAGAAAAGGGGCGAUUCCGGAGGUAAUAACCAACAAGUGCAGGAGGUGCACGCCCACACAGCUCGCUAAUGUAAACAAGCUGAAGGCCUUCCUCCACCAGAACUAUCCGGGUGUCUGGGAGCAAGUGGAGAGCAAGUAUAGUA